GUUAUUGCAUGUACAAGAAAAUAUGAUAAGUGUGGAAAAGAUUAUAGUGUAUAGUUGUGAAAGAAAAAGUUGAGACAAAGAAAAUAUUCUAAGUCUUCAACUAUAUUCACUGUACAAAGAGAGUAAAUAUAUGUUGAAGUAAGGUGUUCUUAUAGUGGAGCUUUGGACUCUUCAACUAAUCCGGAGUUAUUUGAGUUGUACAUCGUUGAUGGGCUGUUGUAUCCCGA
rnacentral:lncRNA from 1 species